AAAUUGAAAUCUCUUCUUCAUUUAAUUGCUUAAGUUUUUUGUUUUGCUUUGUUUUAGAAAGGCCUCUCUUUCUUUCGUCUUAGAAUUUUCGCAAUUUCUGCUGCUGCUUAUGCUUGACUUCAUUUUAGAUUUUUCAUUUGGUAUCAUAAGAACCAAAGGGUCUCAUCUAAAUGGAAUUGAAUGGCAAUCCUAUUUUAUUACUUAGUGGCGGGUUCUCCAGAUCUGACUUCCUAAUCUACUUGACAUGAUGUAGAAAGAAUAUGAGUAUUUACACCUCUCCAAACAUUUGUAUUUAUUAUUUCUGUAUGUUGCUAAGCUAGCUCCUGCAUUUGUGCCUUGUUUAUACCAAUUUACAAAUGUUUUUAAAGCGUAAUGUCUGUUUUUAAAACUUUAUCCAAAGAAGAAAGAAUAAGUCACUUUUUCAGAGUUAGGAGCCAUCAGAAAUAAUGGAAGUUUUCCAUAUAUUUUAGUCCUUCUGUGUGGGAGCCCAAGAGCUCCAUCUCCACAGCUUCCAUGUGCCUCCAGCCAGGUCCUCCCAUCAAAGUAAAUGGAAGCAGAAAAUGCUUUAGUGAAACAAAGGAAAUGUGCAAGCAUUUUUUUCUUUUUCUAUUUUCCUACUUCCCCCUUUUCCUUCUGGUUCCCUUAUAACCUGAACCUCAGAUGAAGGACUGCAACAACACCAGGAUGGAGAGCAGGUCACCAGGAUCAAAGCGCAAUCAAGAUGACAUCAGUCCCUGGAACUGGGUUUCAACUCACCAGCCCCCCUGGCCUCAUAACAGGAACUCGUGCAGGUGGCCGGUGACCAGAUGACCAGAUGACCAGGAUCUAAU
rnacentral:lncRNA from 1 species